GAGCCAAUCGCGAUUGAGUUUCGGCGUGACGUCGUUUUUGUUGACACAUUUUCGAUUAGCUGGCCACCUAGACGUCACUGCAGCAGCGCGCGCCCGUGACCCUCGACGUCCACCCCGCGUUUUCUGCCUGGAAACAUUGCGAGCUUAUCGGUGCGGUGAAAACUCAGGAUUCCGGGGGCAGGAGUCGGCGUGGGAAAUGGGGUCUGAUCAGAGUUUGGCUGCUGACCAGCAGCAGAGGGAUCCAGACAAUCUGCCAUUGCAAGGUGAAGCAGCUUCAUCCAGUGUCCAAACUGAUACCAGUCCUGAGCCCCGGGACAGUCUGGAUCCAGACACUGAUCUGCCACAAUGCCGAAUGGGCACCAGAAAGGUAGACGACAUGAGCUUCAUGAUAGCCUGCACCAACUGGUGUUAAAAACCAGAGAGGUUGCACUGUGAAAGAACUGAUUAGACAGGACAUUUCGUCCACAAGUGAGUGCCAAAUUUAGUGCGGGACAACAGAAGAUGGAGGCGCUGGAAUUGCAAUGCUGUUUAAAUGGGUUUGAUGCAAGUUAUGCCAUUAAUAAGUUGUGCAGUGUGUUUUAAGACAUCGAGAAUAAAGCUGUAAAUCUGUUCUGCUCAA